UACCCGGUAGUGUAACGGUAGCACAACAGGUUUUGGUCCUGUUAGUCGAGGUUCAAAUCCUCGCCGGGUAA
rnacentral:tRNA from 1 species